GACGAACGCUGGCGGCGUGCUUAACACAUGCAAGUCGAACGAAGUGGCGAACGGGUGAGUAACGCGUAAUCAACCUGCCCUUCAGAGGGGGACAACAGUUGGAAACGACUGCUAAUACCGCAUACUGAAGGAGGGGAUUGCGUCUGAUUAGCUAGUUGGAGGGGUAACGGCCCACCAAGGCGAUGAUCAGUAGGCGGGCUGGGAGGAGUGACGGCCAAAUUGGGAAUGGGAAAAGGCCCAAACUCCUACGGGAGGCAGCAGUGGGGAAAUUUCGGAAAAGGAGGAAAGUCCGACGGCGCAAAGCCGCGGGAGUGAAGACGGCCUUCGGGGUGUAAAGAUAUGUUAAUCGGGAAGCGGUACCGGAAUAAAAAGCAACGGCUAACUACGUGCCAGCAGCCGCGGUAAUAC
rnacentral:rRNA from 1 species